rnacentral:rRNA from 1 species
GAUGAACGCUGACAGAAUGCUUAACACAUGCAAGUCUUUGGCGAAGCUGUGCUUGCACAGCCUAGCCAAGGCGGACGGGUGAGUAACGCGUAAGGAACUUGCCCUGCAGUCAGGGAUAACAGACGGAAACGACUGAUAAGACCUGGUAAAGUCAGGCGGACUCAUGUCCAGCCUGAUGAAAAGAGAUGCUGCAGGAGAGCCUUGCGUCCUAUUAGUUUGUUGGUGGGGUAACGGCCCACCAAGGCGAUGAUAGGUAGCCGGCCUGAGAGGGUGGACGGCCACAAGGGGACUGAGAUACGGCCCUUACUCCUACGGGAGGCAGCAGUGGGGAAUAUUGGACAAUGGGGGCAACCCUGAUCCAGCAAUUCUGUGUGCACGAUGAAGGUUUUCGGAGUGUAAAGUGCUUUCAGCAGGGAAGAAAAAAAUGACGGUACCUGCAGAAGAAGCGACGGCUAAAUACGUG